rnacentral:SRP_RNA from 1 species
GCUGGUUGUGGUGGUGUAUGCCUGUAAUCCCUGCUGAGGCCGGCGGAUCUCUUGAGCUCAGAAUUCAGAGCUCCCAUGGACUGAGCUGAUUAGGUGUCUGCACUAAGUUUGGCACCAGUCUGGUGAGUCCUUGGGAGCAGGGAGCUACUGGCUUGUUAAAGGAGGGGUGAACUGGCUCAUGUUUGAAAUGGAGGUCAAAACUUCUGUGCCCAUCAGUGAGAUCAAGUCUGUGAGUAGUCUUUGCACUUCCAGCCUGAGUGAGAUGGGGAGACCUAAUCUUU